AUAGUGCAUUCAGAAUGCAAUUGGAAUGAGUGUAAUGCAAAUGACUUAGAGAAAAACAUUUGGAGGGCAAGCUUGGUCCCAGCAGGCACGGUAAUACCAAUUCUAA
rnacentral:ncRNA from 1 species